rnacentral:rRNA from 1 species
GACGAACGCUGGCGGCGUGCUUAACACAUGCAAGUCGAACGGAAAGACCCUGCUUUUGUGGGGUGCUCGAGUGGCGAACGGGUGAGUAACACGUGAGUAACCUGCCCUUGACUUUGGGAUAACUUCAGGAAACUGGGGCUAAUACCGGAUAGGAGCUCCUGCUGCAUGGUGGGGGUUGGAAAGUUUCGGCGGUUGGGGAUGGACUCGCGGCUUAUCAGCUUGUUGGUGGGGUAGUGGCUUACCAAGGCUUUGACGGGUAGCCGGCCUGAGAGGGUGACCGGCCACAUUGGGACUGAGAUACGGCCCAGACUCCUACGGGAGGCAGCAGUGGGGUAUAUUGCACAAUGGGCGGAAGCCUGAUGCAGCAACGCCGCGUGCGGGAUGACGGCCUUCGGGUUGUAAACCGCUUUCGCCUGUGACGAAGCGUGAGUGACGGUAAUGGGUAAAGAAGCACCGGCUAACUACGUG